UGUAUAUGUGUGAUGGUGUAGGUCACUUCCCUCUGUGAGGUGUGUAUAUGUGUGAUGUGUAAUGGUGUAGGUGACUUCCCUCUGUGAAGUGUGCAUAUGUGUAAUGGUGUAGGUGACUUCCCUCUGUGAGGUGUGUAUAUGUGUAAUGGUGUAGGUGACUUCCCUCUGUGAGGUGUGUAUAUGUGUGAUGUAUAAUGGUGUAGGUGACUUCCCUCUGUGAAGUGUGCAUAUGUGUAAUGGUGUAGGUGACUUCCCUCUGUGAGGUGUGUAUAUGUGUGAUGUAUAAUGGUGUAGGUGACUUCCCUCUGUGAAGUGUGCAUAUGUGUAAUGGUGUAGGUGACUUCUCUCUGUGAGGUGUGUAUAUGUGUGAUAUUUAAUGGUGUAGGUGACUUCCCUCUGUGAGGUGUGUAUAUGUGGGAUGUGUAAUGGUGUAGGUGACUUCCCUCUGUGAGGUGUGUAUAUGUGUGAUGUUUAAUGGUGUAGGUGACUUCCCUCUGUGAAGUGUGCAUAUGUGUAAUGGUGUAGGUGACUUCCCUCUGUGAGGUGUGUAUAUGUGUGAUGUUGUAGGUCACUUCCCUCUGUGAAGUGUGUAUAUGUGUAAUGGUGUAGGUGACUUCCCUCUGUGAGGUGUGUAUAUGUGGGAUGUGUAAUGGUGUAGGUGACUUCCCUCUGUGGGGUGUGUAUAUGUUUAAUGGUGUAGGUGACUUCCCUCUGUGAGGUGUGUAUAUGUGGGAUGUGUAAUGGUGAAGGUGACUUCCCUCUGUGAGGUGUGUAUAUGUGUGAUGUGUAAUGGUGUAGGUCACUUCCCUCUGUGAGGUGUGUAUAUGUGUGAUGUGUAAUGGUGUAGGUGACUUCCCUCUGUGAGGUGUGUAUAUGUGUAAUGGUGUAGGUGACUUCCCUCUGUGAGGUGUGUAUAUGUGUGAUGUAUAAUGGUGUAGGUGACUUCCCUCUGUGAAGUGUGCAUAUGUGUAAUGGUGUAGGUGACUUCCCUCUGUGAGGUGUGUAUAUGUGUGAUGUAUAAUGGUGUAGGUGACUUCCCUCUGUGAAGUGUGCAUAUGUGUAAUGGUGUAGGUGACUUCUCUCUGUGAGGUGUGUAUAUGUGUGAUAUUUAAUGGUGUAGGUGACUUCCCUCUGUGAGGUGUGUAUAUGUGGGAUGUGUAAUGGUGUAGGUGACUUCCCUCUGUGAGGUGUGUAUAUGUGUGAUGUUUAAUGGUGUAGGUGACUUCCCUCUGUGAAGUGUGCAUAUGUGUAAUGGUGUAGGUGACUUCCCUCUGUGAGGUGUGUAUAUGUGUGAUGUUGUAGGUCACUUCCCUCUGUGAGGUGUGUAUAUGUGUAAUGGUGUAGGUGACUUCCCUCUGUGAGGUGUGUAUAUGUGUGAUGUUUAAUGGUGUAGGUGACUUCCCUCUGUGAAGUGUGCAUAUGUGUAAUGGUGUAGGUGACUUCCCUCUGUGAGGUGUGUAUAUGUGGGAUGUGUAAUGGUGUAGGUGACUUCCCUCUGUGAGGUGUGUAUAUGUGUGA